rnacentral:hammerhead_ribozyme from 1 species
AGUCAGCUGACGCGUCCGAAACAGGACGAAACGCGUGUCCUGAAU